AGCGAACGCUGGCGGCAGGCCUAACACAUGCAAGUCGAACGAAGUCUUCGGACUUAGUGGCGGACGGGUGAGUAACACGUGGGAACGUACCUUUUGGUUCGGAACAACUCAGGGAAACUUGAGCUAAUACCGGAUGAGCCCUUAGGGGGAAAGAUUUAUCGCCGAAAGAGCGGCCCGCGUUAGAUUAGCUAGUUGGUGAGGUAAAGGCUCACCAAGGCUACGAUCUAUCGCUGGUCUGAGAGGAUGAUCAGCCACACUGGGACUGAUACACGGCCAAGACUCCUACGGGAGGCAGCAGUGGGGAAUCUUGCGCAAUGGGCGAAAGCCUGACGCAGCCAUGCCGCGUGAAUGAUGAAGGUCUUAGGAUUGUAAAAUUCUUUUACCAGGGACGAUAAUGACGGUACCUGGAGAAAAAGCCCCGGCUAACUUCGUGCCAGCCGCCGCCGUAAUAC
rnacentral:rRNA from 1 species